GACGAACGCUGGCGGCGUGCUUAACACAUGCAAGUCGAACGGAAAGGCCCUGCUCUUGUUGGGUGCUCGAUAGGGGAACGGGUGAGUAACACGUGAGUAACCUGCCCUUGACUUUGGGAUAACUUCAGGAAACUGGGGCGAAUACCGCAUAGGAGCUCCUGCUCCAUGGUGGUGGUUGGAAAGUGUCGGCGGUGGUGGAUGGACUCGCGGCUUAUCAGCUUGUUUGUGGGGUAGUGGCUUACCAAGCCUAUGACGGCUAGCCGGCCUGAGAGGGUGACCGGCCACAUUGGGACUGAGAGACGGCCCAGAAUCCUACGUGAGGCAGCAGUGGGGAAUAUUGCACAAUGGGCGGAAGCGUGAUGCAGCAACGCCGCGUGCGUGAUGACGGCCUUCGGGUUAUAAACCGCUUUCGCCUGUGACGAAGCGUGAGUGACGGUAAUUGGUAAGGAAGCAACGGCUAACUACGUG
rnacentral:rRNA from 1 species